rnacentral:rRNA from 3 species
GGUUGACCUCGGAUCAGGUAGGGAUACCCGCUGAACUUAAGCAUAUCAAUAAGCGGAGGAAAAGAAACCAACAGGGAUUGCCUCAGUAACGGCGAGUGAAGCGGCAAGAGCUCAAAUUUGAAAUCUGGCCCCUCCGGGGUCCGAGUUGUAAUUUGUAGAGGAUGCUUCGGGUGCGGCCCCCGUCUAAGUGCUCUGGAACGGGCCAUCGGAGAGGGUGAGAAUCCCGUCUGGGACGGGGUGUCCGCGUCCAUGUGAAGCUCCUUCGACGAGUCGAGUUGUUUGGGAAUGCAGCUCUAAAUGGGUGGUAAAUUUCAUCUAAAGCUAAAUACUGGCCGGAGACCGAUAGCGCACAAGUAGAGUGAUCGAAAGAUGAAAAGCACUUUGAAAAGAGAGUUAAACAGCACGUGAAAUUGUUGAAAGGGAAGCGCUUGCGACCAGACUCGCUUCCGGGGUUCAGCCGGCUUUCGGGCCGGUGUACUUCCCCGGGGGCGGGCCAGCGUCGGUUUGGGCGGCCGGUCAAAGGCCCCUGGAAUGUAACGCCCCUCGGGGCGCCUUAUAGCCAGGGGUGUCAUGCGGCCAGCCUGGACCGAGGAACGCGCUUCGGCACGGACGCUGGCAUAAUGGUCGUAAACGACC